UAAGGCCUAUGAUGGAAUAUGUCUACAUUGUCUGAUCAUUUUAACUUGAUUAAACAAAUAUUGACUGAGGCCUUG